GUAAUAUAUUAUGAGGGCAAAGGAGAGGUCCAGACAAGGUGCUAAAAGAAAUCUGUAGGGAUAGAUCACUUUCAGCUGUGGGGGUCAAGGAACAUUUUAUAGAAAGAGGAACAUCUGAGCUGGGCUUAAAGGAAAGAGACCAUAGCUGGCAAAAAUGUGGAAAUAGUGUUUUCAAGGAAUGGGGAACAGCUUGCAAAUACAAGGAAUAAGAAGACAGAUGAGAUCAGAGAAAGUCUGGUAGACUUGGGUAAUGUCUGUGUAUGCCCAUGUAGAGGAAUCCCUUCCAGCUUUAAGCCUAUCAUGCAAUUCUAUAAUACUAUGAUCUCUUCUGCGAAGGAAAAAAAGGUGAUUGCCUUCAGAUGGGGAAAACAAACCAACCUUUCAAAGAAUGGAGAAGCAAUGUCAAAAGUUUGGGAAACUGGCAAUGGGCAGUUUUUUUCUGAAACUUUCUGGUUCUUGAUUACAGCAAUGACAAGAUCUGUGAUUUAG
rnacentral:lncRNA from 1 species